rnacentral:ncRNA from 1 species
CUUCGGGGCGGGGUGAAAUUCCCCACCGGCGGUGACAGUCCGCGAGCCCGCAAGGGUUGACAGGGUGAAAUUCCCUGACCGACGGUACAGUCCGGAUGAGAGAAG